CCUANGGGGGGCAGCAACUGGGAAUCGUUCGCAAUGGGGGAAACCCUGACGACGCGACGCCGCGUGGAGGAUGAAGGUCUUCGGAUCGUAAACUUCUUUUGUAUUCUCAUAUGAGAGUAAGAAUAAGCACCUACUAACUACGUGCCAGCAGUCGCGGUAAUACGUAGGGUGCAAGCGUUAUCCGGAUUUAUUGGGCGUAAAGAGUCUCGUAGGCUCCUUUUCGCAUCUUGCUUUAAAGCCUUCCGCUUAACGGAAGAUAUGGGCAAGAGAUGGGAAAGGUAGAGGGUUUGGGGGGUAUUGGAAUUCGCGGUGAAGCAGUGAAAUGCGUUGAUAUCGCGAGGAACACCAAGGGCGAAGGCAAAUACCUAACAAACUCCUGACGCUGAGGAACGAAAGCUAGGGGAGCGAAAGGGAUUAGAUACCCCUNUANUC
rnacentral:rRNA from 1 species